AAUUACUUCUCUCAUUGCUGUUAUCAAAUACCUGAGAAAAGCAAAUUAAUGAAGUGGAGAUUUAGAAAAUGUUCAGAAAAAAUGUCCUACCUGGCAGAGAAAGCAUUGCAGCAGGCACAUUCAUGACAUGACAUUGCAUCUUCAGUCGGGAAGGAGAGAGAGGUUCUCAUUGAACUAGAAGCCUAUUGUUGAAGAUAUGCUAUCUGAUGAGCAGGUUCCUGGUAUUUGUAUAUAUCUGUCACAGAUACUAAGAUUACUGGUGCCUGUAUUGUCAAGAAGAAAGCAUCAGAAACCCUGGAAAUUGAGAUACACAGGAAGUUGUGAGCAACCUGACCUGGAAACCAAACUCUGAUCCACUUCAAAAGCAGUAUACACUCUCAACCACUGACCCAUCUUUUCAGAUUAAAUUUGAAGUUUGCAGACUGACUUACCUGUGUUUCUGCCUGGAUGGAAGCCAAGGAACUAUACACCUAUGAGUGGAAAAGCUAUCCCAGUGGAAGUGCAUCCUGAGACGUGGGAGCUCGGGAAGCACACAGCUCUGAGGUGGGACAGUGUCCUAAGGGAAGGCCAUCCUGAGAUGUGGGAAUUCAGGAACUAUAUAGCUCUGAGAGCAAGCCUCUUCAGUAACUCUUAGGGGAGCUCUUGUUCAACAGUUCCUGUAGUAGUAAUUUACAAAGGCUGAGGCAGGAAAGGUGCACAGCUGAGGGGCAGCUAUUGUUGA